rnacentral:lncRNA from 1 species
AGUAUCUCUGGAAUGAAGGCUUUUUAACCUGUUGCAGGGAAGAAGGGCAAUGGAAGGUUUGAAGGGGAGAGAGUACAGAAGAGACAAUGAUAUUGAAAAGACCUUUGUAAACAUUUUGCUUACAUGGUUUUCUGACCCUGGAAAAUAAUCCCUGCAUAUGAAAUGAAACAGACAUUUUUCUAGUAAGUCAUCAUUCUUCUGUGCUGCUGAAGUAAUCUUGUUGUGUUCAUUGGUAUAAUUAAUUUAUCUUAAUAUCUGUUAGCUAUUACAAAGACUAUGUAUGUAA